rnacentral:rRNA from 1 species
CCUACGGGUGGCUGCAGUCGAGAAUCUUCGGCAAUGGGCGCUAGCCUGACCGAGCGACGCCGCGUGGAGGACGAAGGCCUUCGGGUUGUAAACUCCUGUCGAGGGGGAACAAGGGUGGUGAAGAGCCAUCUUGAGUGAUCCCUGGAGGAAGCACGGGCUAAGUUCGUGCCAGCAGCCGCGGUAAGACGAACCGUGCGAACGUUAUUCGGAAUCACUGGGCUUAAAGCGCGUGUAGGCGGGUCGGCACGUCGAGCGUUGAAAUCCCCCGGCUCAACCGGGGAAGUGGCAUCGAUACGACCGACCUGGAGGGGGGUAGGGGGAGCCGGAACUUCCGGUGGAGCGGUGAAAUGCGUUGAGAUCGGAAGGAACGCCCGUGGCGAAAGCGGGCUCCUGGACCCCACCUGACGCUGAGACGCGAAAGCCAGGGGAGCGAACGGGAUUAGAUACCCGAGUAGUC